GAAGUAAACUCUGUUGCUAUUUCUGGACCAAAUGUAUAUACUUCAGGUGCAUCUCCUGCAUCAUCUGUAUAACAGCUCUUAGUGUUUCUGAGUAAUGCCACGAUCACAGUGGAGUGAAUCUUGCUCUUAGAUCAACCACUCUGCAAUUAGUAAAGGGUAUCAGUCACCGCAGGACCAGACAUUUUGCCGUGGCUAAACACGCAGAAGAAAUGUCUGCUUUGUCAUGCUCCUUCCAAACAAGCAGAAAGAACUGAGCCUUUCCUUCUGCAGAAUCCCUUGACGACCUGGGUCAGAGACCUCACCUGACCUGCCUCUCAGAGUGUCACCCAGUGAUGUCAAGGCAAGCUGACGGAGGGAGUGGGGAGACAGCGUGAACCCGUCUUUCCCCAGCAUGCGUUAAACACAGACGGCGGCAUAGGGCUGUGGUAUAAACUCUUGAGACAGAUCCGCCACUGGAAGCUUUACAUCGCCCUGCUGCUACCAUAGCAACAGCCAGAGCUCCAGGUUCUGCCUGAGCCCUGCCUCCAGCCCUUGGCCGCUGAGCCGUGACUGCUGUGUCCUCUGGGAGGACCCAGCGUACAGACUGAAGGGCACUUGGGCAGCGGAAGAGAGACGCUGUUCCUUUCCGCUUCUCAUAACCAGGUUGCUGUUUCCAGAGAGAAGCCACCUGCUGUGUGGGUGCGGCUCAGUGGCUCUGGGGUAGGGGUGCUCCCUAGGGAUAGGGACAGAUGUGAGCUGGGGGGGCCUAGGGGGCCUCAUCCCCUCCCAGUUCUACAACCGAACAAUCCUUAGCAAGUGUGUGUGGUGGAGGGGAGAAGCAAAGGCCUGAAUGGUGUCCGGCAUGACGUGACAGCCUGGUUUGGAGAAUGCACUGCAUGACAAGACUUUACCAUAGGAGCUACAGCCAACACUAACACACUGGAGACUGGAAGGCUUCUUGACGUGAGGGCACACACCGCUUCGGCUGCCAACUGUGCAAAUGGAUUUAUGACACUGAACACCUCCCCGCUCACAUCUUCUUCUGUUUUCUUCACACUGUUUGAGUUCUCUCGUCUCUCUGAGACAUUUGCCUCAGAUGCCACAGCACCAGUGACUUCUUGGAUCGUAAGAGUGGGGUUUGCAGCCUAGAAGGACAGAUAUCCUGACCACAGAGAAACCUAGGGUCCAGUUCAGAACUCACUCCACCUGCUACUCAAUGGACCUCUGUCACUGGCCUCUGGCAAUGGGACCUAGGGCCCAUCCAAGCAGUUAUCAUCGUCUGCAUUAGUUUAUUAACCUUGAGAGACUUCAGGCUUUGUUUCCCCUAUCAAUCAAGUCAACCCUUUAUUGCUGCUCUUGUUCAGUGAGUCCUUAUUCAAGACUUUUUGUUAUAAUAGCAUAUUUAACUAGAAUAUCUCUGUUUUGAAACUGAA